rnacentral:rRNA from 1 species
AAGGGGGCUAGCGUUGCUCGGAAUUACUGGGCGUAAAGCGUGCGCAGGCGGUUCGGAAAGAGAGGUGUGAAAUCCCCGGGCUUAACCUGGGAACUGCGUUUGAAACUACAAGGCUAGAGUGUGGCAGAGGGGGGUGGAAUUCCACGUGUAGCAGUGAAAUGCGUAGAGAUGUGGAGGAACACCGAUGGCGAAGGCAGCCCCCUGGGUUAACACUGACGCUCAGGCACGAAAGCGUGGGGAGCAAACAGG